UAGCAUAAUCAUUAGUCCUGUAAUUUAGGACUGGAAUGAAUGGUUUAACUAAAUAAACCUGUCUUAUUAUUAUACUUCAAACUUCAUAUUUUAGUAAAAAAGCUAAAAUUUACAUUAAAGACAAGAAGACCCUAUUAAGCUUUAUAAUCACAAUUUAACAUCAAUAUAAAUUGAAAAUUAUUUUACUGGGGCAGUAAACAAAAAAAAAUUUCGUUUAUAUAAUAUGAAUUCAACUCUUGAAAAAUCAAAAAAUUCUUAAAAAGGAAUAAGUUACUAUAGGGAUAACAGCAUAAUUUUCUUUAAGAGUUCUUAUCAUCAAGAAAGUUUGUGACCUCGAUGUUGGAUUAAGAUACCUUUUUUAUGCAACAAUAAAACUAA
rnacentral:rRNA from 1 species